rnacentral:misc_RNA from 1 species
GAUGAAGAACGUAGCGAAAUGCGAUAAGUAAUGUGAAUUGCAGAAUUCAGUGAAUCAUCGAAUCUUUGAACGCACAUUGCGCCCGCCAGUAUUCUGGCGAGCAUGCCUGUUCGAGCGUCAUUUCAACCAUCAAGCCCCAGGCUUGUGUUGGAGCCCUGCGGCUGCCGCAGCCUCCCAAAACCAGUGGCGGGCUCGCUAUCACACCGAGUGCAGUAGUUUACUCUUCGCUCAGGGCGUGUGGCGGGUGCUAGCCGUGAAACCCCCAACUUCUCAAGGUUGACCUCGGAUCAGGUAGGAAUACCCGCUGAACUUAAGCAUAUCAAUAAGCGGGA